rnacentral:misc_RNA from 1 species
GAAACGCGAUAGGUAAUGUGAAUUGCAGAAUUCCGUGAAUCAUCGAAUCUUUGAACGCACAUUGCGCCUUCUGGUAUUCCGGUAGGCAUGCCUGUUUGAGCGUCAGCAAAACACUCUCAGCUGAAUUAUGUUAUUCAUGCUGGUCUUGGGUAGCGGAUGCCGGUGGGGGACACUUCCCCACCUGCGCCCUCCCUAAACCUGCUGCACGACCGCAAGCCCCUUCUAGCCAGGUCAAUGGAGUGGUGUUACAAUCUUCCAAAAAAACCUGCUGGUAACUGCUUUGUGGCGUUAAACCCAAGUGUCUCCCUAGUGGCGACCGAAGUUUUGACCUCAGAUCAGACAAGGAUACCCGCUGAACUUAA